GGGGGGGGGGGGGGGGGGGGGGGGGGGGGGGGGGUCGGGCGGGGGGGGGGGGCGGGCGCGGGGGUGCGGCGGCGGACGGGGGGGGGGGGCCUCGGGCUCUGCCGCGGAGGGGGGCCGCACGUCGCGAAGCGGGCGCUAAUACCGCCUACGUCCUUGCGGAGCAACGGGGGGAUCCUCGGACCCCACGCCAUCAGCUGACCCGAGGUCGGAUGAGCUAGUUGGAGGGGUAAAGGCCUCCCAAGGCGACGAUCCGUAACUGGUCUGAGAGGCUGAUCAGUCACACUGGAACUGAGACACGGUCCAGACGCCUAAGGGAGGCAGCAGUGGGGAAUAUUGGACAAUGGGCGAAAGCCUGAUCCAGCCAUACCGCGUGUGUGAAGAAGGUCUUCGGAUUGUAAAGCACUUUGAGUGGGGAGGAAGGGCAGUAAGUUAAUACCUUGCUGUUUUGACGUUACCAACAGAAUAAGCACCGGCUAACUUCGUG
rnacentral:rRNA from 1 species